GUAGGAGUUUCUGAUUCUCCUUCCUUCUCAGUCCUCAGAAAAGAAAAGGUACCCGGAAAAACCUCUCGUGCUCAACAAACGUCUGCCCCGUAUGUCACCAAGACAGGACUUACUCUUCUAAAGGAGUGCUGUGGGUUCACUUGCUCCAUCAUGUAAAAAUGAUCUCCAAUGGACCAGGACAGCAGAUCCAGAGAGCUUGCUUUUGGUUGAUCAGUAACUGGACACCACAAUGGCACUGUACGUGGUUAUGCUCCACACUUCAAACUACAAGUCGAAGCUACCUAACUGGCAAUGAGUUGAUUCACGGCCUCUUUGUUCUGUUAGUAGCUUGCCAAUAAAAAUGUGAUGUCAAUGUGUGUGUUACUUGUGGUCUCCUGCAAAGCACAACUCUCUCCACUAGUGAAUUUACAUAUUUUCAAGCUGCUGGUUUUCGCCACUCGUUGAUUUUGAGUGGCCUUUCCCGAAUUGGCAAUGAUCUUGACCAGUGGAUAUCUACUUUAUAUCAUUGACUCGCUCUGCAGAUAAACUAUUAAUUAAGUUAGCAUGAGGCACACAUUCAUCAAGUUUGCAUUCAGAGUAGUUGUGUUUGUUGGUCCAGAAAAUAGCGAAAAAUCUUACCGCUUUAAUUUAUCUCAGAGGAGUGAGAUAUAGCUUCUCGACACGCUUACUUAAAUAUCUAUACUAAGCAGCAAAGAACUUUCACACAAUAUAAUCACAUAUAAAAUCUGUUCUUAUUGUUAAUUUUAAUGUUGAGUAGCUUAGUAAGUGUUGUGCUGAAUAAAACACUUGUUUUAUUUAUAAUUGUCUUUCCUUUUCUAUUAAUGUGUUAAUUAAUCCUGCAACUUUUACUCUGUCUGUCUGUAUUUUUGCUGCUAAAAACACUUGAUUCGAAGGCUUUGCUUUAUAUUGUGUAUAUUUUAGUCGAUGAUCUUAGAAACAACUCCUAAAUAAAUGGGGGUUCUGUAGUACGAGCAGAUCUUUAGCAACAUUCUAAAAGUGGAGCAAUCAGUUCAAAAUAUUUGUUUCCGUGGUGACUGCAUCACAUACGCCAGUCAUUGGCUGAGGGCGUUAGCUGACUGCUCUCUGCCAAUGAAUGGCACACUCUGCAAAAUAUAUUUGCUGGCUGAUGACACUCCAUGAUGUUGACGGAAGGGAAGUUCCAAGUCCGGUAGUCAAGGGCUUAAACUCUGUAUGUUCAGUGUUUCACAGCAAAACUUUGCACAUACAGACUCCAGGCACCCUGUCCACUUUAAGUCACCAUUGUAUUGCUCUUUGAACCAGAAUCACCAUCACAAUAUUAUACCACCUGUGGUAUCUUUAUACAGCUAUCCAUGGCUUCAAUCAUUUUUUAUUUUAAUUUUUAUCAGAGACAAAGAGAUUUAAAUGCAAGCAAUCUGCAAAGUAUCACUUAAUUCCAAGUGAAUUUAAAAUUUAAAGGAACACUAUAGGGUCAGUAACACAAACUUGUAUUCCUGAUGCUAUAGAGUUAAAACCACCAUCUGCCUUCCUAAAUAUAGUAAAAUCUUACUUGUAUUUAGGUCUGCAGUUGCUUCCUAUGCCCCUGAUGCCUGCUUGGCUGACAUGAUCACAAGUGAUUCUUUGAACCAAUCACAAAGCUAAUUCUUAAGGCCAAAGUAGCCAAACAGAAUCCUUACUUGCGUUAAAAAUCCCUGCUUGAGUACCAGAGAGGUUAAAUCACAGCAUUGAUUAGCUUGAUUAGUUGUUAUCUCUGUGUAUAAUGUUUUUCUGGGGAUUGCUAUUAGAGAUGUUUACAGUGUUUUGUAGAAGGCAUCAUACCCAAAUAAAGUUAUUCAGUAAAUGUAGAAUUGACAAAGGGACUGAAAAUUUUACGCCAUAAAAAGCUGAAUUGGGAAAAUUGUCCAUAUCAACACUUUUUUUAUUUCUUUAUUUACAAACUUCUUUUCUUUUCUUUCAAGGUAGUCGAUUUUGAUGUUAAGAUUGCAAUUUGUCAUUUUUUCACAAUCCUUGGAUUGAAACAGCAAUAAGUCUAUUACGCAGCUAUUGAUCUGACAGUUAAGUGACUCUCGACAGGCAAUCGUCAACUCUCCAAUCCUGGAAACAAGAUAUUGUGCAUCCCCCAGACUAGCUGAGGGUUUUGUGAUUUUUAAUCUCUUAGCAACUGGACAGCAAAAUUAUUUU